rnacentral:rRNA from 1 species
GACGAACGCUGGCGGCGUGCUUAACACAUGCAAGUCGAACGGAAAGGCCCUGCUUUUGUGGGGUGCUCGAGUGGCGAACGGGUGAGUAACACGUGAGUAACCUGCCCUUGACUUUGGGAUAACUUCAGGAAACUGGGGCUAAUACCGGAUAGGAGCUCCUGCUGCAUGGUGGGGGUUGGAAAGUUUCGGCGGUUGGGGAUGGACUCGCGGCUUAUCAGCUUGUUGGUGGGGUAGUGGCUUACCAAGGGUUUGACGGGUAGCCGGCCUGGGAGGGUGACCGGCCACAUUGGGACUGAGAUACGGCCCAGACUCCUACGGGAGGCAGCAGUGGGGAAUAUUGCACAAUGGGCGGAAGCCUGAUGCAGCAACGCCGCGUGCGGGAUGACGGCCUUCGGGUUGUAAACCGCUUUCGCCUGUGACGAAGCGUUAGUGACGGUAAUUGGUAAAGAAGCACCGGCUAACUACGUG